AACUUCCCUUACAAACUGAGAUCAUCAUUGUAUUUCCCAAAACACCCUUAUAUUCCUUUUCCAAUCUCCUGUUUGGAAGAUUCCAAAUUCACACCAAUUUAAAGGAAUUUCAAAAUUACUCAACGCCAUUAACUGAAACAAAGUUACAUUCUCUCAUACCAAACCUUAUGAAUUCUUCUUUCUCUUCCACACCAGUUUUGGUGGAAGAUGAUCCACCAUCUCCCGAGGUGUCUGGGCCUUCAGAAACCCUAGAUGCAGAUAACAAUGGUGUUUUUUCUAGUCAAGACAACUCUGAGCCUUCCACGUCUUCCUCUAAUUCAAAUGUUGCGGAAUCUGAGCUCAUUCUUCAGAGUUCAGAGGCUUUGGUGAAAGGGAUCUCUUUUUUUCUUGGCUCCUUGAUUAAGGAUUUCGAUUGUAAAGCUGAAGAUACGGUUAAAAGCCAAGACCAGCUCUGCUCCGCAAUUGACCGAUUAAGUAGAGAGCUUGACCAAUUAUUAGAAAAUGCACCCUUGCCAUUCGUCAUGCAUCAUGCAGCGAAAAUUACAGGUGUUCGUAAGAGAGUAUCAUCUUUGAACUCACUUUUAAAAUUGAUACAACGGGGUAUUGAUGAUAUAGAUCGGAUGCUAUCUGCAGGCCUGUCACAUGGAAAAGCUACUGCAGAAAAUGCUGGGCAAUAAUAGUGACUGGGUAUUGCAGGGCCAUCCAACAUCAUUAAAUCUCUCUGCACAAAUUUAACGGCCAUUGUUGGGUCAGUAGUGGGCGAGCCUGUGGCUCAACGGUUAAGUUGCACUAUUGCAACAUGUUGGUCACAGGUUCAGAACUUGGAAACAGCCUCUCCUGCGAAGCAGGGGGUAAGCUGCAUACAUUUGCCCCUCCCAGACCUUGCAGUAGUGGUAGCCACGUGCACCGGGUUGCUCUUAAUCUUUGUUGCAGAUGCAAUCCUCACUCUUUGGCUAGUCCAUUUGACGAGGGGAUCCAAAACACUCAUCAGGAACACUAGUUCUGGUUUCAUUCUGUUCUUGAAGGCAGCGGUGGCACUGAGGCUGCAUGUGGAUUUGAAGGAGAUGAAUAGAAAAAAUGGGUGAAAGAUUUUUGCAUUGUUCCAGGCUUCAAGCAACUGUAUACUUAUUGAUUGUUCCCGUGAAUGACAAGAUAGCAGCUCUGAGAUUGAACAUGUUGGGGUGUUCAGGUAUGUGAGUUGCGGAGGAAGAACUACUGAUACAUGCAUAUCAUUUUCAAUAAUACAAACUAAAAAGUUUCAGACUUCAUUCAAUCGCAUGUAUGCCAGGAAUGUAUAGGUUUUGGUUAGUUCAAUGCCUAUGCAUUGGACUGCACGGCUGCAUCACGCUGGACCCAAAUAUUCAUUGCUUUCUUUAUAUACAUUAUGCAAGAUUAUGGUCCAGGUUCCAAGGAUUGGUUAAACUA